GGGCGCAUAGCUCAGCGGUUAGAGCACCACUCUUAUAAAGUGGGGGUCGAUGGUUCAAAUCCAUCUGCGCCCACCA
rnacentral:tRNA from 1 species